rnacentral:tRNA from 2 species
ACGGGUGUAGCUCAAUUGGUAGAGUAGUGGUCUCCAAAACCAUUGGUUGUGGGUUCGAUUCCUACCACCCGUGCAA